GUUGAACGCUGGCGGCAUGCCUUACACAUGCAAGUCGAACGGCAGCGGACCUUCGGGUGCCGGCGAGUGGCGAACGGGUGAGUAAAGUAUCGGAACGUACCUUUCAGUGGGGGAUAACGUAGCGAAAGUUACGCUAAUACCGCAUAUUCUCUGAGGAGGAAAGCAGGGGACCUUCGGGCCUUGCGCUGAUGGAGCGGCCGAUAUCAGAUUAGCUAGUUGGUGGGGUAAAGGCCUACCAAGGCGACGAUCUGUAGCGGGUCUGAGAGGAUGAUCCGCCACACUGGGACUGGGACACGGCCCAGACUCCUACGGGAGGCAGCAGUGGGGAAUUUUGGACAAGGGGCGAAAGCCUGAUCCAGCCAUGCCGCGUGAGUGAAGAAGGCCUUCGGGUUGUAAAGCUCUUUCGACCGGGACGAAAACCCGCUGGCCAAUAUCCAGCGGUCUGACGGUACCGGGAGAAGAAGCACCGGCUAACUCUGUGCCAGCCGCCGCGGUAAUAC
rnacentral:rRNA from 1 species